rnacentral:tRNA from 1 species
GAGGGUAUAGCUCAGUGGUAGACUGCAUGCUUAGCAUUCACAAGGUCCUGGGUUCAAUCCCCAGUACCUCCA